GCGGCGUGCCUAACACAUGCAAGUCGAACGAAGCAAUUAAAAUGAAGUUUUCGGAUGGAUUUUUAAUUGACUGAGUGGCGGACGGGUGAGUAACGCGUGGAUAACCUGCCUCACACUGGGGGAUAACAGUUAGAAAUGACUGCUAAUACCGCAUAAGCGCACAGUACCGCAUGGUACAGUGUGAAAAACUCCGGUGGUGUGAGAUGGAUCCGCGUCUGAUUAGCCAGUUGGCGGGGUAACGGCCCACCAAAGCGACGAUCAGUAGCCGACCUGAGAGGGUGACCGGCCACAUUGGGACUGAGACACGGCCCAAACUCCUACGGGAGGCAGCAGUGGGGAAUAUUGCACAAUGGGCGAAAGCCUGAUGCAGCGACGCCGCGUGAGUGAAGAAGUAUUUCGGUAUGUAAAGCUCUAUCAGCAGGAAGAAAUGACGGUACCUGACUAAGAAGCCCCGGCUAACUACGUGCCAGCAGCCGCGGUAAUACGU
rnacentral:rRNA from 2 species